AGUAAAUUGGUUAAGUUAGAAAGGGCGCACGGUGGAUGCCUUGGCACUAGGAGCCGAAGAAGGACGGGACUAACACCGAUAUGCUUUGGGGAGCUGUACGUAAGCGUUGAUCCAGAGAUUUCCGAAUGGGGAACCCACUAUCUUUAGUCGGAUAGUAUCCUUACGUGAAUACAUAGCGUGAGGAAGGCAGACCCAGGG
rnacentral:rRNA from 1 species